CACGUAGGGCGCAAGCGUUGUCCGGAAUUACUGGGCGUAAAGGGUGCGUAGGCGGCGCGGUAAGUCGGGUGUGAAAUCUCGGAGCUUAACUCCGAAACUGCAUUCGAUACUGCCGUGCUUGAGGACUGGAGAGGAGACUGGAAUUUACGGUGUAGCGGUGAAAUGCGUAGAUAUCGUAAGGAAGAUCAGUGGCGAAGGCGGGUCUCUGGACAGUUCCUGACGCUGAGGCACGAAGGCCAGGGGAGCAAACGGG
rnacentral:rRNA from 1 species